UUACAAUUGUACAUUGUGAAACAUGAUAACAUCGAAUUGAAUUUGAAUACGUUAGGUUUAAUUUUUUUUGUUGCGCUGUUGGCUGUCAAAACCGUGCAGGCAGUCGCAAAGAAGUAACUUUUCACCGAAGUCAGAGCCUGCUGACCAUGGAGGAACCAAUGAUGGAUGCAGGUGCGGAAUCCAGUUUUUAUUGUGCGUCAUUGGCUUCAGGAUAAUAAUUGUAAUACAGGGGGAACUUUGGACACCUUGUUGGAAAAUCUCACGCUUCUGAGGACCUAAAUUCAAAACCAGCCUCGCCGGUGUGGAGUUGUUAUGUUCUCCCUGUCUACAUGUUUUUUCUCUGGUUUUUUUCAACAUCCCCCAAAAUAUGCAUGAGGAUUCGAAAAUUACCCAUUCGACAGGCAACAUCACGGAUGUCUACGGCUAUACACUUGCACAGAAUCAAGUACACGUAUGUAUGUGUAUAUACUUUUAUAGUUUGGUCACAUCUUUUACUUCAUUUUCAUUAUUAUUCUUAUUAUCCCAAAAUAAAAACAUCUCACA